GUUGAGAUGUUUCAAGCAAAGCCUAGGUAUGAUGUCAAGUUUUUCAUAUUUCCUCCCCUUGGCUGAUAUCAUGUGUUGUCAAGAAGAUUCAAUGUUCUAAAUGGGACCCAUGAAACUCCACAAGCAGGAUGUUUAUUCCUCAAAUUUCACUAUGGUUUUGUAGCUGUUUACAUUAUUUUGUGCCACAAGAGAAGCUUACUUCCCUUGGCUGAUUUCAAUAGAGGCAAAUUGUUCAAGACAGAUCAAGUUUGUGUCAAACCUGGUUUAUGAUGUACAGCAUAGGACAGAAGCUACAAGACUGAAAGAACACAGGUUGUUCUUGAAGUUGAGCAUGAUGUUUGAGGUAAAGCAGCCAAGGGAAGACACUCUAACAUGAUUUAAUGUGCAGUGCUAAAGGAAACUUGUUC